rnacentral:rRNA from 1 species
UACAGAGGGUGCAAGCGUUAAUCGGAAUUACUGGGCGUAAAGGGCGCGUAGGCGGCGCGGGUAGUCAUCGGUGAAAGUUCAGGGCUCAACUCUGAAUCGGCCGGUGAUACUCCCGUGCUCGAGCACUGUAGAGGCAGGUGGAAUUCCGGGUGUAGCGGUGGAAUGCGUAGAGAUCCGGAAGAACACCGGUGGCGAAGGCGGCCUGCUGGGCAGUAGCUGACGCUGAUGCGCGACAGCGUGGGGAGCAAACAGG